rnacentral:rRNA from 1 species
UACGGGGGGAGCAAGCGUUGUUCGGAUUUACUGGGCGUAAAGGGCGCGUAGGCGGCCAGUGCAAGUCAGUUGUGAAAUCUCCGAGCUUAACUCGGAAAGGUCAACUGAUACUGCUCGGCUAGAGUGCGGAAGGGGCAACUGGAAUUCUCGGUGUAGCGGUGAAAUGCGUAGAUAUCGAGAGGAACACCUGCGGCGAAGGCGGGUUGCUGGGCCGACACUGACGCUGAAGCGCGAAAGCUAGGGGAGCGAACGGG